CGGAGUCAAUGCAGCGAUUACAAUUUAGCAUGGAUAGUGGGAGAUAGGUAUUGACUGGCACCAGAGAGUCACAGGCCCUUAACUUCAAGUCGGCGCUCGGAUGUACAUGUUGCAGCCUUCCCUAGACUAGAGUAUGCUAUAUUAUUUGCAGCCUCCGCCAUUUUAGUUCAACCAUCUGCCAGUCAUGAUAUGGUUGAAGUAUAGCUGAGAAGCACCUUCCAAUCACAGAGAGAGAAUGAAUCGUAAACAGGCUGGGAUGACUAACCGCUGGCAACGGACCUAUGACACAGGGGGUGAUCUUUUAGGUCUCUCCCAGGCUGUCAAAACUAUCGGGCCCAGCUUCAACAUGAACAUGAGGGACAACCUCACAGGUUAUGACUCCAUUACACAAACUGCGAUUGCUUCAUCUUCUUGUCCACAUGUUCCAACUGAAAGAUCUGUGGAAAAUGAAGAC